UCAGGUCUACUCAGGGUGGGAGGGGCCCGCACAGGGUGUGCCGACCAGGAGGCGAGAUCACGGGGAUCGCUGGGGCCAGCUACCAGGACAGGUGAUGCAGAAGGAGCUGCGAUGCAUUAAAGGACGGACAAGACAGAGAAAACGUUUGCGUCACUGAAGCUUCUGCUACUCCUGCCCCACAGGCUCUGCUCAGAGGCGGACUUGGGCAGGAGAAGAAUAGACAUGAACUUCGCAUGCCCGUGAGCUCACUGCGUGUGACUGCUGCGGGCUUAUGUCACCAGCGCAGGAACGCACAUCCACUCCAUUGCCUGCGCUCGCCUGCACAGAUGUUCGGUGCGUUGAUGGUGGAUGGCUUAGGCUGCUGAUACUCCCGAUAGGAGAGCCUUUCCGGGGCCGACCGGGUGCAGUCAAGACCGCCAAACGCUCUCUUAACAACAGCAUGUGUUCGAUGCCGGAAAGGUCACCACAGACUAGCUGGUGGCUCCGUCCGUGUCAGACACUCUCACCCCUUGGCCACUGGCGCCCUCCUGUGCUGGGGACAUGGGGCAGCUCAGGCGGACACCAGUGUGACCCCACGGAGGGCGGGAGGUGGCUCACUGGUACCCAGGCCCCCACCUGGAUGUGUGGCUAGAACAGCCGUGGGCAAACUACGGCCCGCGGGCCGGAUC